GAUGAACGCUGGCGGCGUGCCUAAUACAUGCAAGUCGAGCGAAUGGAUUAAGAGCUUGCUCUUAUGAAGUUAGCGGCGGACGGGUGAGUAACACGUGGGUAACCUGCCCAUAAGACUGGGAUAACUCCGGGAAACCGGGGCUAAUACCGGAUAACAUUUUGAACCGCAUGGUUCAAAAUUGAAAGGCGGCUUCGGCUGUCACUUAUGGAUGGACCCGCGUCGCAUUAGCUAGUGGGUGAGGUAACGGCUCACCAAGGCAACGAUGCGUAGCCGACCUGAGAGGGUGAUCGGCCACACUGGGACUGAGACACGGCCCAGACUCCUACGGGAGGCAGCAGUAGGGAAUCUUCCGCAAUGGACGAAAGUCUGACGGAGCAACGCCGCGUGAGUGAUGAAGGCUUUCGGGUCGUAAAACUCUGUUGUUAGGGAAGAACAAGUGCUAGUUGAAUAAGCUGGCACCUUGACGGUACCUAACCAGAAAGCCACGGCUAACUACGUGCCAGCAGCCGCCGUAA
rnacentral:rRNA from 1 species